CCUACGGGAGGCAGCAGUGAGGAAUAUUGGUCAAUGGGCGCGAGCCUGAACCAGCCAAGUAGCGUGAAGGAUGACGGCCCUACGGGUUGUAAACUUCUUUUAUAAAGGAAUAAAGUGAGGCACGUGUGCCUUCUUGGAUGUACGUUAUGAAUAAGGAUCGGCUAACUCCGUGCCAGCAGCCGCGGUAAUACGGAGGAUCCGAGCGUUAUCCGGCUUUAUUGGGUUUAAAGGGAGCGUAGAGGGGUUGGUAAGUCAGUUGUGAAAGUUGGCGGCUCAACCGUAAAAGUGCAAUUGAGACUGGCAGUCUUGAGUACAGUUGAGGUAGGCGGAAUUCGUUGUGUAGCGGU
rnacentral:rRNA from 1 species